AGGUUGUCUCGCGAUAGCUCAGCUCCCUUCUUGGCCAGGGGAGCCGCAGCAGCUCGAGGACCGACAUGGAGGCUCACGAGGACUACGUUUGGCCGCGGGCAACCUCGGAGCUCAUACUCCUCCCGGUCACGGGUCUGGAGUGCGUGGGGGAUCGGCUGUUGGCGGGUGAGGGCCCGGAUGUCCUGGUGUACAACCUCGAUUUUGGUGGCCAUCUGCGGAUGAUGAAGCGCGUGCAGAACCUGCUUGGCCACUAUCUUAUCCAUGGGUUCCGGGUACGACCAGAACCAAAUGGAGACGUUGACUCGGAGGCUAUGGUGGCUGUGUUUGGGAGCAAGGGACUUCGAGUUGUGAAAGUUAGCUGGGGACAAGGCCGCUUUCGGGAGCUCUGGCGCUCUGGCCUGUGGAACAUGUCUGACUGGAUCUGGGAUGCACGUUGGCUUGAGGGGAACAUGGCCCUAGCCCUGGGCCAUAACUCAGUAGUGCUAUACGACCCUGUGGUAGGGUGCAUGCUGCAGGAGGUGCCCUGCACAGACAGGUGUACCCUCUCCUCAGCCUGUCUGAUUGGAGACACCUGGAAGGAGCUGACCAUAGUGGCGGGUGCUGUUUCCAAUCAGCUCCUUGUCUGGUACCCAGCAGCUGCUUUAAUAGAUAAUAAGCCUGUGGCCCCUGACCGACGGGUCAGUGGGCAUGUGGGUGUCAUCUUCAGCAUGUCGUACCUGGAAAGUAAGGGCUUGUUGGCCACAGCUUCAGAAGACCGAAGUGUCCGCAUUUGGAAGGUGGGUGACCUGCGGGUGCCUGGGGGUCGGGUACAGAAUAUUGGGCACUGCUUUGGGCACAGCGCCCGUGUAUGGCAGGUCAAGCUCCUAGAGAAUUACCUUAUCAGUGCUGGAGAGGACUGUGUCUGCUUGGUAUGGAGCCACGAAGGUGAGAUCCUCCAGGCCUUUCGGGGCCACCAGGGUCGUGGCAUCCGGGCUCUAGCUGCCCAUGAGAGGCAAGCCUGGGUGGUCACUGGGGGCGAUGACUCAGGCAUCCGGCUGUGGCACCUUGUAGGGCGUGGGUACCCGGGUUCGGGGGUCUCAGCUCUCUGCUUCAAGUCCCGUAGCAGACCAGGCACCCUCAAGGCUGUGACGCUGGCUGGCUCAUGGCGACUACUGACAGUGACUGAUACAGGGGUCCUGUAUCUCUAUGACUUUGAGGUCAAGUGCUGGGAGCAGCUGCUGGAGGAUAAGCGCUUCCAGUCCUACUGCCUCCUGGAGGCAGCCCCUGGUCCUGAGGGCUUCGGACUGUGUGCCAUGGCCAAUGGGGAGGGUCGUGUCAAGGUUGUUCCCAUCAACACUCCAACUGCAGCCGUGGACCUGACCCUGUUCCAUGGGAAAGUGCAUAGUCUGAGCUGGGCCCUGCGUGGCUAUGAGGAGCUCCUGUUGCUGGCAUCGGGCCCUGGUGGCGUGGUGGCGUGCCUGGAAAUCUCAGCUGCGCCUUCCGGCAAAGCCAUCUUUGUAAAGGAACGUUGCCGGUACCUGCUGCCUCCAAGCAAGCAGAGAUGGCACACAUGCAGUGCCUUCUUACCCCCUGGUGACUUCCUGGUAUGUGGGGACCGCCGGGGCUCUGUGUUGCUGUUCCCCUCCAGACCAGCUCUGCUCAAGGAUCUUGGGAUUGGGGGCAAGGCCGGAGCUAUCACUGGAGCACUUGAAGCAGGUAGUGGCAGUGGUGGGGAUGAAACUGAGUGGGGCCCUGUGUCCACCCUCCCUUCUCUGCAUGGGAAGCAGGGUGUGACCUCGGUCACCUGCCAUGGCGGCUACGUGUAUACCACAGGGCGUGAUGGCGCCUAUUACCAGCUCUUUGUGCGAGGUGGCCAACUCCAGCCAGUCCUGAGGCAGAAGUCCUGUCGAGGCAUGAACUGGGUGGCUGGGCUCCGGAUGAUGGCUGACGGGAGUAUGGUCAUCCUGGGUUUCCAUGCCAAUGAGUUUGUGGUGUGGAGUCCCCGGUCCCAUGAAAAGCUGCACAUCGUCAACUGUGGUGGAGGGCACCGCUCCUGGGCCUUCUCUGAUACCGAGGCGGCUAUGGCCUUUGCCUACCUCAAGGAUGGGGAUGUCAUGCUGUACCGGGCUCUGGGUGGCUGUACCAGGCCACACGUGAUUCUCCGGGAGAGCCUGCAUGGCCGUGAGAUCACUUGUGUAAAGCGUGUGGGCACCAUCACUCUGGGACCUGAAUUUGAAAUGCCCAGCUUCAUGCAGCCUGACCACUUGGAGCCCGGCAGCGAGGGGCCUGGCCUGAUUGACAUUGUCAUCACAUGCAGCGAGGACACCACUGUCUGUGUCCUGGCACUCCCCACAGCCACUGGCUCGGCUCACGCACUUACAGCGGUUUGUAAUCACAUAUCCUCGGUGCGUGCGCUGGCUGUGUGGGGCAUUGGUGCCCCAGGUGGCCCUCAGGAUCCUCGGCCAGGCCUGACCGCUCAUGUGGUCUCUGCGGGGGGCCGGGCUGAGAUGCAUUGCUUCAGCAUCAUGGUCACCCCAGACCCCAGCACCCCAAGCCGCCUCGCCUGCCACGUCAUGCACCUUUCGUCGCACCGGCUAGAUGAGUACUGGGACCGGCAGCGCAAUCGGCACCGGAUGAUCAAGGUGGAUCCAGAGACCAGGUAUAUGUCCCUAGCUAUGUGUGAGUUUGACAAGCCUGGCCUUGGGCCCCUUGUGGCUGCAGCUUGCAGUGAUGGAGCAGUGAGGCUCUUUCUUUUGCAGGACUCAGGGCGGCGGCUGCAGCUCCUGGCUGAAACCUUCCACCACAAGCGGUGUGUCCUUAAGGUCCACUCCUUUACACAUGAGGCACCCCACCAGCGGCGGAGGUUGUUCCUGUGCAGUGCAGCCACUGAUGGCAAUCUGGCCUUCUGGGAUCUCACUACCGUGCUGGACCACGGUUCCACUGCCCUGGAGCCUCCAACAGACCCUGGACUUCCCUACCGACUGGGCACUCCCUGCCUGACCCUCCAGGCUCAUAGCUGUGGCGUCAACAGCCUGCACACCUUGCCCACACGUGAGGGCCACCUUGUGGCCAGUGGCAGUGAGGAUGGCUCCCUCCAUGUCUUUGUGCUGGCUGUCGAGGCACCAGAGCUGGAAGAGGCUGUGGGGGGUGCUGAGUUGGUGCCCCAGUUGCAUGUGCUAGAGGAAUACUCUGUCCCCUGUGCACAUGCUGCCCAUGUGACAGGCCUCAAGAUCCUAAGUCCAAGCCUUAUGGUCUCGGCCUCCAUUGACCAACGGCUGACCUUCUGGCGUCUGGGGCAUGGUGAACCCACCUUCAUGAACAGUACCGUGUACCAUGUCCCAGAUGUGGCUGACAUGGACUGCUGGCCUGUGAGCCCUGAGUUUGGCCACCGCUGUGCUCUUGGGGGCCAGGGGCUUGAGGUUUACAACUGGUAUGAUUGAAGUGUCCCGUGGUGGCCGGCAUGCUGGGCAUGUGGCCUGCUCGCAGACAGUGUGGAACAGGAGCAACUGUCUGUGCCCAUCCCCAGUGUGCCUUGAGGGGAGGAGGCGGCAGCCGUGGGUUCCUGAAGUCAGAGCAGGAGCUGGAGGUAAUGACUUUGUAAACAUUCCUAGGUAGUGGGGGUCUCUGUGGCCUUAGAUAUGGUUCAGUGGAGGGAGGCCCAGCGUGGCUAGGCCAGUGUGAAGCACUUCACGCACGGCCUGCAGAAGCUGGAGACGGGCAAACAUUUGACCAAACAGGAUGUGUAUGCGGUUAUAGUAGGAGCUGAAAUCCAUGCUGAGCUGCACCAGGAACUUGCACAUCUAGAGACAGAGACUGAGUCACUGGCUGAUCUUUCUGAUCUUGUGCCCAACCCCAAAUAAAGCAUUGAGUGUGUGGUGUCUGUCCCGA